AUAGUCAAGCACGGGAAGCCAUUCACAGAUGGAGAGUAUAUAAAAGAAGCAUUCAUUAAGAUUUCGGAACAUCUAUAUGUGGACUUCAAAAACAAGAAUGAAAUUGUGCAGAAAAUCAAAGACAUGCCUCUCUCUGAUGUGCAGACACUGUGCACUGAGGUUCGGGAGCAAAAAUCCCAUUAACCAGAUUGACAGCUGACUGCACGAUCCUGUAUAUAGCAUUAAGGAGAAUAACAUGGGCAGAUAUUUGGUAAAGAAGAGCUCUUUAAAAGAGCUCCAGGAAAGUUUGCAAGCAACUUUUGUAACUGGGUUGAGCCAAUUACAGAACAGCCUAACCCAGAUAACAACUCAGAUUAAAGAUAUAAAUGAUUAAAUGGAGGAUUUCCAAAACCAUUUUAAGGAAAAUAAACAAGAAACCACCAAAUUAGCGAAGGCUAUAAAAAAAACCUGACAAGAGCAGAAAAGACCCAACAGAAAGUAAAAGAAGUGGUAGAAGCACAACAGCUGUCAGAUGACAGAAUGAUUAAGCUGGAAAUGGAUAGAGCAGCCUAUAUGCUGAGGUUCCAGAACAUCCCAGAGGAUAAGGAAGAGGACUUGUCCCUUUUAUUAGCACAAUCACUUGCAUUAGAAAUGGAGGUCAAAAUUGAUGAUCUUCAAAGAGAGAUAGACUUGAUUUACAGAGUAAAUUCAAGCUAUGCUAGAAAGAACAAAGUAUCAAGAGAGGUUCACGUGAAAUUUACUAAAAGAGCAGUGCGAGAUGAGGUGCUGAGGGGAAUGAGAGACAAAGACCUGACUAUAAAAGGAAAUGUGAUUAUAUUUUGAAAGAGGUACCAUGGAGGAUGAGACAGAAGAGGAAAGAAUAUGAAUAUCCCUCUCAUCAGUAUUGAAAGCCAAUGAUAUUUCUUAUAGAUGGCUGAUACCUGAAGGUCUCUUCUUUUCAUAUGAAGGCCAGAGAUACAGAAUAAACUCAACACUGAAAGCGCAAGACUUUUUGAAGAAAUAUGGAAAGAGACUUUCAUCUAAUAGGGAAGAGUCCAAGGAAGAGGAAUCAGAUAAAGAGAAAGAAGAAGAUUCAGAGACUCAGUCACAGGACAGCCUGGAAUCAGAAACGAAUUUAGAAGAAGAGGCCAAAGCAGCACUAAGAAUGGAAAUAAGAAGACAGACCAAACAUAAACAAGCUGAUAGUAAAGUAAAGACAUGUGAUGGAUAGAGAACAAAUUAGAAUCCGUACAAUC